rnacentral:rRNA from 1 species
UGCAAGCGUUAAUCGGAAUUACUGGGCGUAAAGGGUGCGUAGGCGGUUCGUUAAGUCUGUCGUGAAAUCCCCGGGCUCAACCUGGGAAUGGCGAUGGAUACUGGCGAGCUAGAGUGUGUCAGAGGAUGGUGGAAUUCCCGGUGUAGCGGUGAAAUGCGUAGAGAUCGGGAGGAACAUCAGUGGCGAAGGCGGCCAUCUGGGACAACACUGACGCUGAAGCACGAAAGCGUGGGGAGCAAACAGG